rnacentral:rRNA from 1 species
GUUGUAUGGUUAAGUGACUAAGCGUACACGGUGGAUGCCUGGGCAGUCAGAGGCGAUGAAGGACGUACUAACUUGCGAUAAGCGCAGAUAAGGCAGUAAGAGCCGUUUGAGUCUGCGAUUUCCGAAUGGGGAAACCCAACUGCAUAAGCAGUUACUGUUAACUGAAUACAUAGGUUAACAGAGCAAACCGGGGGAACUGAAACAUCUAAGUACCCCGAGGAGAAGAAAUCAACCGAGAUUCCGGUAGUAGCGGCGAGCGAACCUGGAUUAGCCCUUAAGCACUCGGUGAAGUAGGUGAACAAGCUGGAAAGCUUGGCGAUACAGGGUGAUAGCCCCGUAACCGACGCUUCAUCGAGCGUGAAAUCGAGUAGGGCGGGACACGUGAUAUCCUGUCUGAAUAUGGGGGGACCAUCCUCCAAGGCUAAAUACUCCUGACUGACCGAUAGUGAACCAGUACCGUGAGGGAAAGGCGAAAAGAACCCCUGUGAGGGGAGUGAAAUAGAACCUGAAACCGUGUACGUACAAGCAGUAGGAGCACCUUCGUGGUGUGACUGCGUACCUUUUGUAUAAUGGGUCAGCGACUUAUAUUCAGUGGCAAGGUUAACCGUAUAGGGGAGCCGUAGCGAAAGCGAGUCUUAACUGGGCGCUCAGUCUCUGGAUAUAGACCCGAAACCGGGUGAUCUAGCCAUGGGCAGGUUGAAGGUUGAGUAACAUCAACUGGAGGACCGAACCGACUAAUGUUGAAAAAUUAGCGGAUGACUUGUGGCUAGGGGUGAAAGGCCAAUCAAACUCGGAGAUAGCUGGUUCUCCCCGAAAGCUAUUUAGGUAGCGCCUCGGACGAAUACUACUGGGGGUAGAGCACUGUUAAGGCUAGGGGGUCAUCCCGACUUACCAACCCUUUGCAAACUCCGAAUACCAGUAAGUACUAUCCGGGAGACACACGGCGGGUGCUAACGUCCGUCGUGGAGAGGGAAACAACCCAGACCGCCAGCUAAGGUCCCAAAGUAUUGCUAAGUGGGAAACGAUGUGGGAAGGCUCAGACAGCUAGGAUGUUGGCUUAGAAGCAGCCAUCAUUUAAAGAAAGCGUAAUAGCUCACUAGUCGAGUCGGCCUGCGCGGAAGAUGUAACGGGGCUAAGCAAUACACCGAAGCUGCGGCAAUGUCUUUUAGACAUUGGGUAGGGGAGCGUUCUGUAAGCCGUUGAAGGUGUGUGGUAACGCAUGCUGGAGGUAUCAGAAGUGCGAAUGCUGACAUGAGUAACGACAAAGGGGGUGAAAAACCUCCUCGCCGGAAGACCAAGGGUUCCUGUCCAACGUUAAUCGGGGCAGGGUGAGUCGACCCCUAAGGUGAGGCCGAAAGGCGUAAUCGAUGGGAAACGGGUUAAUAUUCCCGUACUUCUGACUAUUGCGAUGGGGGGACGG